AAUGAGCUCCUACUGGACGUAGCAAGGCUAGAGCAACUUGUUGAAAAUUCAGUGGCUUUGUCGGUGCAUGAUGACUUGAAGCAUCAAAAUUUUGAUCUGUCGAUCAAAUACAAAGCUCUAUUGAAUAAGCAACCUGCUUUUAUCAGUGCUGGUGAUGCUCUAUCGAAGUUUGAAAUCGAAAAUCAGAGACUGAUCGCUGAAACAGAUAGCAAAAUAAAUGGAAUGUUGAAGACCCUUGAAAAACUUUCUCCAACCGGGAUAAAGCACCUUCUGAUCAGGUCUCCAGUCCUUCAGUUCUUUCUCCAUUUUACUUUGAAAGAGAAAAUAAGAAAUUUGAAGAGGACUACAUGGCACCCUCCACUUUUAGUUGUAGGGAAGAUUUUGUCCCUGUUUUGCUGACAAUCCCAGCCAAUUUUCGCAAUCGGUUGGCUGGUGACAGAAUAUUUAGCCCUUAUAGGACAUAACAGAGGGGCUGUUUUCCAGGUUUCACUGCUCAACGAACAGUUGUCUGCAAGCAAUGCAAAGUUACUGGUUGAAAAACAGAGAGCUGAGUACCUUGCUAAAGUUAAUCAGUCAAUGAAAGAUCAACUCAUGGAAACGGAGACAAGAUGUCAAAACCUUCAAAGUAGUCUGACAGAAGUGGAAGAAAGUUGCCGUAAGCUUGAAUUAUCAGAAGCAAUCCUUCGAGAUAAAUUGUUCUCUUUUAUUGAUUCUGAUUCCUACAAUCAACUCCAGAAGAAGUGUUUAGACCUGGAAAAACGUCUUGUUUUCAUGGACUCAGAACACCAGCGUCUGACAGCUGAAUGCGAUUUAAUUCGCACGUCAACCUCAAAAUUUGUUGUUGAGCAUAAUAUCAUGCAGCUCAAAUUUGAUUCACUGAAGAGACAGGUUCUUGAGCUUCAGUCAGCUAGUGAUGACAAGUUGCUUCUAGGACAAUUGAUGCAAGAAGUAGAAUUUGUUCGCGAGAAAAGUCUUAAAGAUGAAGCCGAAAUUGAGGAGUUAAAACUGAAAAUUCAAGGGCUGGAAUCAACCAACCACCAACUAAAAAUUAAGCUCAGCGAAAGUGCAACUGUGAAUGUCAAUUGCAAGGACAAUUUUUUGCGGAAGCAGAGAUUGUUUCAAGAAAUUGUGGCUGGCUUGCUGGAACAUUGGGUUGAUGGAAUUCCGCGACCAACCAGGGAGUGUUGGGUUGAAAAGAUGAGGAGGCUCUCGGAAGAGAAAGCUUUUGCUUGGGAACAACUUAAACAGGCCCUGUCAGUCAAUGAUCAAAAAACCAUUGAGCUUCUAGAAAAUCAACCCCUGCUGAAGUCAAACAAGCUAAAUUACAGGUACCUUCAUCAUCAGGUCUUCUCAGUGAUUUAAACAUCGAAUAGUUUUUUCCUCAUUCGAGGUUAAAGUAAGCGUGAUCACUUUUAUUUGAAAAGCACUUUGGUGCAUUUAAAUCAGUGUCAUGUACUCAGUGAGAUUAAUGUCUUUUUUUCCUGCAUCAUCAAGUCAAUAAUAUUUUUAGAAUUUACAGUAAUUUUAAGUGACUCAAAACUUACAAUAGUUUUUACUCAUUGUUCUUUUUCCAGAGUAUCAUUACAGCUAACAGCUGAGAAGUUGGAAGCG
rnacentral:lncRNA from 1 species